ACUCAAAGGAAUUGACGGGGGCCCGCACAAGCGGCGGAGCAUGCGGAUUAAUUCGAUGCAACGCGAAGAACCUUACCUGGGUUUGACAUGGGCGCUAAAACCUCAGAGAUGGGGUGUCCUUCGGGGGCGUUCACAGGUGGUGCAUGGCUGUCGUCAGCUCGUGUCGUGAGAUGUUGGGUUAAGUCCCGCAACGAGCGCAACCCUCGUUCCAUGUUGCCAGCGGGUUAUGCCGGGGACUCAUGGGAGACUGCCGGGGUCAACUCGGAGGAAGGUGGGGAUGACGUCAAGUCAUCAUGCCCCUUAUGUCCAGGGCUUCACGCAUGCUACAAUGGCCGGUACAAAGGGCUGCGAUGCCGUAAGGUGGAGCGAAUCCCAAAAAGCCGGUCUCAGUUCGGAUCGGGGUCUGCAACUCGACCCCGUGAAGUCGGAGUCGCUAGUAAUCGCAGAUCAGCAAUGCUGCGGUGAAUACGUUCCCGGGCCUUGUACACACCGCCCGU
rnacentral:rRNA from 1 species